UCACUAAGCUUCAGCUGCACACGACCGUACCGCAAACCGACACUGGUGCGCGAGAUGAGUAUUCUAAGGCGCUUGAGAGAACUCAGGAGAAGGAACUCGGCAAAUUGACACCGUAACUUCGGAAGAAGGUGUGCCCUAUUAGUGUGAAGUGAACAACGGAGCAUGAAUGGGUUGCAAAAAAUCGGUGGCUGCGACUGUUUAUUAAAAACACAGCACUCUGCAAACACGAAAGUGGACGUAUAGGGUGUGACGCCUGCCCGGUGCUGGAAGAUUAAAUGAUGGGGUGCAAGCUCUUGAUUGAAGUCCCAGUAAACGGCGGCCGUAACAAUAACGGUCCUAAGGUAGCGAAAUUCCUUGUCGGGUAAGUUCCGACCUGCACGAAUGGCGUAACGAUGGCCACACUGUCUCCUCCUGAGACUCAGCGAAGUUGAAAUGUUUGUGAUGAUGCAAUCUCCCCGCGGAAAGACGGAAAGACCCCAUGAACCUUUACUGUAGCUUUGUAUUGGACUUUGAACAGAUCUGUGUAGGAUAGGUGUAGGCUUUGAAGCAGGGUCGCUAGAUCUUGUGGAGCCAACGUUGAAAUACCACCCUGGUGUGUUUGAGGUUCUAACCUAGGUCCAUUAUCUGGAUCGGGGACAGUGCAUGGUAGGCAGUUUGACUGGGGCGGUCUCCUCCCAAAGCGUAACGGAGGAGUUCGAAGGUACGCUAGUUACGGUCGGACAUCGUGACGAUAGUGCAAUGGCAUAAGCGUGCUUAACUGCGAGACUGACAAGUCGAGCAGAUGCGAAAGCAGGACAUAGUGAUCCGGUGGUUCUGUAUGGAAGGGCCAUCGCUCAACGGAUAAAAGGUACUCUGGGGAUAACAGGCUGAUACCGCCCAAGAGUUCAUAUCGACGGCGGUGUUUGGCACCUCGAUGUCGGCUCAUCUCAUCCUGGGGCUGUAGCCGGUCCCAAGGGUAUGGCUGUUCGCCAUUUAAAGAGGUACGUGAGCUGGGUUUAAAACGUCGUGAGACAGUUUGGUCCCUAUCUUCCGUGGGCGCUGCAGAUUUGAGGAAGCCUGCUCCUAGUACGAGAGGACCGGAGUGGACACACCUCUGGUGUAUCGGUUGUCACGCCAGUGGCAUUGCCGAGUAGCUAAGUGUGGAAGAGAUAACCGCUGAAAGCAUCUAAGCGGGAAACUCGUUUCAAGAUGAGAUCUGCCGGGGCCUCGAGCCCCCUGAAGAGUCGUUCAAGACCAGGACGUUGAUAGGUCGGGUGUGGAAGCGCAGUAAUGCGUUAAGCUAACCGAUACUAAUUGCUCGUGCGGCUUGACCCC
rnacentral:rRNA from 1 species